rnacentral:rRNA from 1 species
AACGAACGCUGGCGGCAGGCUUAACACAUGCAAGUCGAACGCUCGGAGCAAUCCGGGAGUGGCGGACGGGUGAGUAACGCGUGGGAACGUGCCCUGAGGUAGGGAAUAACUGCGGGAAACUGCAGCUAAUACCCUAUGAGCCCAUAGCAAUAUGGGGAAAGAUUUAUCGCCUUGGGAGCGGCCCGCGUCGGAUUAGCUAGUUGGUGGGGUAACGGCCUACCAAGGCUUCGAUCCGUAGCNGGUCUGAGAGGACGAUCAGCCACACUGGGACUGAGACACGGCCCAGACUCCUACGGGAGGCAGCAGUGGGGAAUCUUGCGCAAUGGGCGAAAGCCUGACGCAGCCAUGCCGCGUGAACGAUGAAGGCCUUAGGGUUGUAAAGUUCUUUUGCCCGUGACGAUGAUGACGGUAACGGGAGAAUAAGCUCCGGCUAACUUCGUGCCAGCCGCCGCCGUAAU